rnacentral:misc_RNA from 1 species
GAUGAAGAACGCAGCGAAAUGCGAUAAGUAGUGUGAAUUGCAGAAUUCAGUGAAUCAUCGAAUCUUUGAACGCACAUUGCGCCCUUUGGUAUUCCUUAGGGCAUGCCUGUUCGAGCGUCAUUUAAACCUUCAAGCUCAGCUUGGUGUUGGGUGACUGUCCGCUUCACCGCGGACUCGCCUCAAAAUUAUUGGCGGCCGGUACAUUGGCUUCGAGCGCAGCAGAAACGCGACCUCGGGCCCGUCGUAUUGGCUCCCAGAAGCUAUCUUCACAAUUUUGACCUCGGAUCAGGUAGGGAUACCCGCUGAACUUAAGCAUAUCAAUAAGCGGAGGA